UUAAAUAUUACAAUUUAUUUACAAUAUAUUUUUGUAAAUGUAAAAAUAAUCCCUUGUAGGUUAUUCAUAGUUACCCUUUUCUAUCGUAUAGAAUAUUGUAUUAUAUAGGACAUAGGUAUUAUAAAAUUAUAUUCAGUCGUAAAAUCAUAAAUAAGAUUUUUAGAGAAAAUAAUUCCGAACAGCAUAAUAUAGUAUAAUAUUUCACUCUCGUUACAACGUAAUAUUUUAUAAAAUAAUAUUUAACUACCAUUAUAAUAAUGUAGUAUACCAGACGCGGUUUCAGUAAAUCGUGCAGUUCAAACGUAUUUUUUUUUCUUCAACUUAAUCGUUAAAAAGAUGACAUCUUUUUACCACACAAUUUUUGUAUUCGUUACGCUAAUAAUAUAUACACUACAAUUACGACUAAAUUUCAUAACAGCAGAAUGUGUCUUGAAUUUCACCAAAUAUAUAUUAUGCGUAAACCCAAAUACUCGUAUCAUUAACUUCGUGUCCCCGUCAUACGUUUUGUUUUUUUUUAUUCAGUAAUUCUCAUUUACCUAUUUUAUAUUCGUAGACGCGGUACAAACGCCCGUAACAGUUGUUUAAACAUUUAAACAAAACUACCGUGACUAUAUUAAAAACUCGUUUUUUCUUUUUCACUCAAAGUGCUUUGUACACCACCUAUCUUAUACCAGAUCCUUACAAUUAGCUAUACUCAGUACAUUCAGAUCCUUUUAUACUCUAUCCACCUUUUUCUUGGUUUGUUACAAGGUCUUUUUUUCUUUAAAAUCAAUUUAUAUAUAAUAUAAUCAAAUAUCUUCAAUCAAAUUCUGCUCUCAGUGUAUUAUGUUCUUUUCAACGCACAAUACGACCACGUCACGGAAUCCUACGACAUUUGAUAAAGCUGGUCACCAGACCCAUAUCCAUAAAUUACUGCAGCUCCUUGUAAAACCUCCUUUGACAAUACGAUUUCCUGAAUCAAGUACUGGUUUGCGAAUUUUUUUCCAUACUUUGUUUUCUAAAGUCCUCAAAUUCCUUUCCGUUAUGCUCGUCGUUGUCCGGGACCCACAUCUGUCCAUUCUUUUUUUGUUAACCUUUCAAGCGAAUAUUUGAGCGAACAAGGAGUCAAAUAAAUUGUAAUCGUAUAAAAUUGGAUUAUAAAAUGGAUUUCGAUUUCAAUCCGAUUAUAAUUGAAUUUCUUUUUAAAAUAUGGUUAUACGAUUACCUAGGCGUAGUAUAUACAGUAUAAUGGGUACUUUUGUAGUUAAGUAAAUGCAUAAACUUUUAGGUGUAGCUAUCGGGUGUCAUGCGUAAUUUUUAAAUUUAUCCAAGGUCGAUUCAUUUAUAAAUCGUAUACGUUCAAACGAUUGUAAUAAUUUCGUAAUCUAGCAAAAUUCGUGAAAAUUAUGUUCUAACACGUACCUAUUAUUAACCAAGUAUAUAUCAAUAAUUUGCCAAAUUACGGACUUUGAAAACAUGCCAUGAAUUCUCUAAUAUUACCUACGUAGGUAUAGUUAAUUGAACAGUUACUGUAUCUAUAUAGUGAACUUAUGGCACUUGUAAGGAAUUUAUACGAAAAACGCACGGGUCAAUAAUAUUAUUACUACGUAGGUAUAAAAUAGCUAUCAGCUUUUAUUAUUUUUAUUUUUUAAUUUUAGUGUGCACAACAAAAACAGUACCUAUUUUCGAUUCUGUCUACAUUAGUGAUUCCUAACUGGGAUUGCGAUGGGCACUUUUAAUUGAGAGGGACGUUCAACUAGGGGUGUGCUAUGAUUAUUCAGUCACUUCUAUUUGUAUACAGGGUGUCCUACAGUGUUAUCCUUAUGCUAAUAAUUCUGUCAAUAUUCAGUUUUUUAAAAUUAUUUUUUCCAAUCGGGUUUUGUGCA